AGGAAGUGAAAUAAGGGCGUACGGGGGAUGCCUAGGCUCUCAGAGACGAUGAAGGACGUGGUAAGCUGCGAAAAGCUACGGGG
rnacentral:rRNA from 1 species